AAAUUUGCGAGCAAAUGGGAUUAGAGAACUCAGUAGUCCUAGCUGUAAACGAUGGAUACUAGGUGUUGUGCGACUCAACCCGUGCAGUGCUGUAGCUAACACAUUAAGUAUCC
rfam:Oryza sativa Japonica Group DNA, chromosome 10, cultivar: Nipponbare, complete sequence.